rnacentral:rRNA from 1 species
CACGUAGGGUGCAAGCGUUGUCCGGAAUUAUUGGGCGUAAAGAGCUCGUAGGCGGUCUGUCGCGUCUGCUGUGAAAACUCGGGGCUUAACCCCGGGCCUGCAGUGGGUACGGGCAGACUAGAGUGCGGUAGGGGAGACUGGAAUUCCUGGUGUAGCGGUGGAAUGCGCAGAUAUCAGGAGGAACACCAAUAGCGAAGGCAGCUCGCUGGGACGUUACUGACACUGAGGCGCGAAAGCGUGGGGAGCGAACAGG